CACAAAAAAGUGUUCAAUGGCACUUUAAAUCCAUUACCCACCUUGUGUGCAUUGUCAGGAGGGAAGAUCCCUUGGGAUUUCUCUCUCUUUUUCAUUCCACUCUUUCUUAACAUCAGUCUACAUCAAUUGAGAACUAAAAAAUCUCUAAUA
rnacentral:misc_RNA from 1 species